rnacentral:pre_miRNA from 1 species
AAUAAGUUUAUUUUUCAGUUUUUAGAUACAAUAUUUCGACUCUUCAUCUUAUUUGAAUUUUUUUGCAAUUAAUAUUUUUAUUGUUAAUAGAUGAUAAAACAUGAAUAGUAUUUUAUACAUGACUAAUUUUUAAAGAUCUUUACAAUUUUUUUAAAUAAAACGAAUGGUUAAACGUUGACCAUAAAAAU